GGGGAAGAAAGAUGAGAUGGGGAGGAGGAAAAUGGAGGAGGAGAAUGAAGAGGUGGAGGAGAAUAGAUAAGGAAGUGGGAAAGAGGAAAAGGACAGUAAAGGAGAAGGUAGAGGAUGAGGAGGCGGAGAACAGCGGGGGAGGAUGGAGGAUUGGGACGAUAGAGAAGAGGGCGGAUUGAGGAGGACGAGGAUGGAUGACGUGAAUGGAGGAGGAUCCAAGGGGGAGUAUGAUGGAGGAGGAUGGAGAAGGAGGAGGAGGAUGGAGGAGGAGGAGGGUUAGGAUGUGGACAUAGGAGGAGAAUGCAAGAGGAGGAGGGAGGACUGAUGAGCAAGGAGAGGGAGGAUGAGAUGGAUGCAGGAGGAGGACUGAGGAGCAGGAGGAGGAUGGAAGAAGGAGGAGGAGGAAGAUGUAGAAGGAGGAAGAAGGAUGCAGAUGGAGGGGAAAGAGGAGAAGCAGGAUGGAGGAGUGAUGACAGACAUGGUGAGGAUAGAGAAAAAGGAGAAUAAUACGGAUAGAGGCAGAGGAGGAGAUUUUGGAGCAGGAGAAUGAAGAGGAGAAGGAGGAUGGAACUGGAGGAGGGUGGAAGAGGUUGGAGUAGAUUUAGGAGGAGGAGAGGGAGAAGGAAGAUAGAGAAGGAUGGAGGAGAGAGAUCCAGAAGGAGUAAGAAAGAGGUGGCUGGGCAGGAGGGAGGAGGAUGGUGAGGUGGGAGGAGGAGGAGAUUAAGGAGGAGGAGGAAGAGGGAGGAGGAGAAGGAUGGAGGAGUAGGAGGAAGAAUGAUGGAGGACGAGGAUAGAGGAAGAUCAGAGGUCCCAGGGCAGGCAGUGAGGGGCCAGGAUGGAUCCUAGUGGAGGUUGUACCCCUAUGAGCCCCGGGUCUGGUCGUCAGACUGAGAAGCACAGGGAAGCUGAGUGAGGGGUGUAUGGGAACCUGCUGUACCAGUUUUUAAUUCAAGGUAAGAGGUUUGAAACGACAAUAUAGGUCUUCUCCACCCACGGCUCCCAAGCAGAGGGAGAGGAGGAGGGAAGUACACUGAGGGCUCUGGGGACAGGGAUUGUCCAGCCAGACAGCGGGCAUGUGCACCCAGGUCCACUGCUCACACGCUAGCACCUGCCCCACCUAUCCUGUCCCUGCUUGGUGACAGGACCCUCUACCAGAGGCCCUUAGCCAUCAGGGAUUAAAGGCUAAGUCAGGCCUGGCUCCACUGACCUGCACAUUGACCCAGAAGCCCCAUUGUUGGGUGGAAUGGCAAUGCUCUGAAGUUCCGCUCGCUGCCCGGCAUUCUCUGCUCUGGUCCAUAGCAGCUGAAGGCAGUUGUGCCCUCUGUGAGCAAAUCUGCCAUCUCACACUGCCCAAUUCCAUGUGAGUGUUGUGUUCCUACAGGAGGCGCGGCUCGGAGAGCAGUUGGAGGCACUCGUGCCCUCUGUGAGCGGCUCUGCCGUCUCGCACUGCCCACCUCGACGCGAGUGUCGAGUUCGUGGAGGAGGCGCAGCUCGCGCCCGCGACUGGUCAGUCAGGUGAGCGUGACUUUGGGGACAGUGGCCGCCAGGGGUGGUGCCACGGGCCUCCCUUGGCUGUAGGCGAGGUGACACCGAGCCCCGAGCCCCGAUGGAGAGCCGGGCUCAGACAGCCGUCCCCGGUCCAUGGGGUGAGGGUGCUGCUCGCAUUGCCCCUGCCCGUGGGAGGAGGCUGGGG
rnacentral:lncRNA from 1 species